rnacentral:rRNA from 1 species
UACAGAGGUCCCAAGCGUUGUUCGGAUUCACUGGGCGUAAAGGGUGCGUAGGCGGUCGGGUAAGUCUGACGUGAAAUCUUCAAGCUUAACUUGGAAACUGCGUCGGAUACUAUUCGGCUAGAGGAAUGGAGGGGAGACUGGAAUACUUGGUGUAGCAGUGAAAUGCGUAGAUAUCAAGUGGAACACCAGUGGCGAAGGCGGGUCUCUGGACAUUUCCUGACGCUGAGGCACGAAAGCCAGGGGAGCAAACGGG